UGUGUGGUAAAAAAAAAAAAAAAAAAUUCCACAAUUCGCCAUCAUCGUGCGACAGUGAACAAGCAACAUUACUUCCGCAGCUGCUCCGGUGGUGAGAUCGACGCCGUCUCAACACGGGGAAAAUAAUAUUAUUUAAUUAUAACAAUAAUAUAAUAUAUUAUUAAUUAUUCUUUGUCAACGUCGACUUUCAUGAUUGAUACCUACACGACAAUAAUAUAUUGGAACCUACCUAUACAUCAUGAUAUACGGUAAGCGAUGUCCGUAACAGUGUUCGCGAGAACGAAACAAUUAUUUUCGUCAGAUUUGGAGUAGCGGCCACACGAGACGCGUGUGAAAUAUGAAUUUGUCACCUAUAAGCACAAGUUUCGUUAAUCCAAGCAGUAAGCCAUUUUUUGUUGUAUUAAAUAAUAUAACUGGUGAAAUCGUGAUUAAAACAAAUAUAAUAUAUUAGGACGUAUAACUACGUCUUAGACGUCCAGUAGUUCCGUUAUGAAUUUUCAAAGAAUAAAAUUACAAUAUAGAUAUUUUUUUACGCCCAUUGUUCUUUUGAUCAUCAUAUUCUGUCGACGGAAAGUAUUAUACAAUGUGAAAUAAAAUACCAGCUAAAGAUUGGAGGUAUUUUUUUACGCUGGUUCACAAGAUUUUUUUUGGUCAUCGUAUUCAGUCAACGGAAAUUAUGGAAAAAUGCAAAAGGUAAUAUUUUACGUCCGUUGUCAACAAUUAUUUUUUUGGUCGUCGUAUUCAGUUAAGGGAAAAUAUGGAACAAUGCAAAAAGAAACUAUCAGCUAUUGGUUGGAGGUAAAUAUUAACCGUUUAAUUUUAUAAAUGCGUACUACACCAUGCAAAUAAGCAUUAACAAACGCUCAGAUCGAAUAAUAAUACGUCGAUGAAAUAAUAAAGUUGUCUAUUAUUCUCAAUAAUGUGCUCCUGAAGACAUCUGUUUCAAGAAUAAAUAAUUGUUAUAUUGUUAAUAAUUGUGUAAUUACGAGAACUUAGGUUAAAUUAUUUCAUAGCAUAAUAUAAGAUGUAAAUAUAUAAAGGCGUGUGUCGAAACGUGUAUGUUGUGAAGCCAUCCAAAAACUGCUUAGAUAGAUAUUAUAUAAUAGGUAUCAGUGAUCACCAGUUAAUAUUUUUGGAGGGACACUAUAAUAGGAGUUGGACUUCGGGAAAUUUUCUUGGGCCAUCGUGCAAUUUAACGUACACGUUUAUCCAAAAAAAUUAAAGGUAAAAUCAAAAAACUAAUGUAAACCUCAUUUAAUUCACCAUCAAAAAUAAUAAUAUAAAAGUAAAUUUCUCGUUGAGGCCAGAUAAAGCUUGAGAGCUAUUUGGUGACCCCUAUAAUAAUAAAUUCAACAAUUGUACGUUUAAAUUUAGUUUUAUCAUUAUUAUUUUUUUUUUUUUUUAGUAUACCGGGUGUAAACCAUCUAGGCAAUUUUUGUUAUAUAAUUUUGUUGAUUUUGUUUAUUUUAUUAUUAAUUCGGUAUAUUAUAGAGAAUACAUUUCGGGUUGAAAAAUAAGUUUUUAAAUACAAUUUUUAUUAUUCCCUCAGUUAUUAAAAUUAUAAAAUUAAGUACUAUUUAAUUAAUAAUCUAAGUACCAAAUCGAUGUUUAAUUGAAUCGGGAGGUAACUAGCUGGUGGUGAUGUAGGCCCUCCCCCCCUAAGAAAAAGUAAUGUAUGUCUAUACCGUAUCUGUGAAUAAUCCAGCACACUUCUCACAUGGGUGUAACAAUUAUUGUAGGUAAAAUGUACAAGUAUACUAAUAUAGUGGGGAGAAAAGACAGCAAUAUAUAAGAAGAUUGAUGAGUUUUGUAUAGUAUUAUAAAUCAUAUUUACCAGAUACCUACUUGAUAUAAUAACAGUUUCCAAUUCAGUGCUAUUGCAAGUUGUCAUAUAUUAUACCUAGUUAACUUAAUUGCUUAUUAUAAUAUUUUAUAAUUUUAUAAUUACAUACGCGAUACACUGAAUACCUAUUAAACAAAAUGUUUUUUAUAUCAAAAUCAACAAUUUAUAUGGCUACUAGAUGAUCUAAAAUAAUAUUAUGUUGUAUUUUAUGUUUUUAAGUGCAUAAUUUCAAUAUUUCCGAUUUUUUAAGUAUACCUACCUAACUGCUUAUUAAUUUAUAUCUACCUAUUUCUAAAGCAAUAAAAUUCGAGCCCUAGUUAUGUAUUGUAUUAUUUAAUUUCAUCGUGUAUUUAGUUUUUAUUCAAUUCAUAUUGCGUUUCCAGUCGGUAGUAUCUAAUAUAAUAUAUUAUCUAUCUAAUACUAUCUAAUAUACGCACACUACACAUCUGUAUUAUAAUAUAGCUGUAAUUAGGUGUAAUAGGUUUAGGUAUCUAUAUAAAUUCAAAAUAAUGCGUGUGUGACCGGGGCCAUGAUUCUGAAAAAUUCCGCAUUCUGUUUUAAUUUUGGACUGUUUUUCAAUUUACUAUAAAUUAAAACUAUUUUAUUUUUUGAUAAAAAUAAAACAACUCAACUUUAAAAGUUGUAAGAUAUUUAUACAUAAAAGUUUGAAGAGAACUUCUUAAUAAUUAAAAAGUGAAGUGUGUAUCGUCAGCUUAAUAUACGUAAAAAUAUGUUUUCAUGAGAAAAAGAAUUCGAAUUCGAGUUGAAUAUACAACAGUUGAACAGUCCACAUUUCUAAAUAUAAAUCACAUAUAAUAAAUUUCUUAUGUUGAAACUAAUCUAUAAUGUUUUAACGGUCCGCUGCAAUUUCCGGUGGGUUCGUAUUUAUGUACUCGUACAUUAAUAGUUUCAAUUCGUACUAGAUACCUGAUACCUAUGCGUCUAUAAUUCAGUAAUACGUAGUGUGGGAUAUCCCGUAAACGAUUAUUGAUAUAUUUUCAUCUUUACCUACAACAUAAUUAUUAUCUCAUUAGGCCACAAAUUGAUUUUGUCAAUUUCGUGUUUAUCCGUGUCGCGGUCGAUCGUUUGUCAUAAAUAGAUGUCAGAUAUAAUAAAAAUAUCAAAUAAUAUACAUUUGCAUAGGUAAUCAUAAAUAGUGAAAAUAUUGUCGGACUACCCCUACUUCUUCGUAUAAAAUACUGUACUUACCUAUCUCUGUAAAAAAACAUUUAUUUAGUUUUUCUUCGAUUUAUACAAAAUACAAAUACCUAUAAAUACUAAAUUAUAAAUUAUCAACGUAUGUUCAACAUUUUUAGAUUCUGAGCGAAGCGAUGAAUGUAUUGAUUUUACAAUGAUGUGUGUUUUUUUUUUAUUUUUUUUAUUUUUGUGUCUGUCAUCACCUUUUAGGACAGUAAAAGUGCUUGGAUUUUCUUCAACAGUAACUUUUCUGAUAGGAAAGUGAA